AGUCGGUCGGUUUGUCGCUACACACUAUAUAGUGUGUAGAGGAAAGUCCGGGCAGCAUAGAGCGCCAUACUUCUUAAUAGGAAGCUAUUUGCGAGAGUAGAGCAACGUAACAGAAAACAACCACCACCAUCUUUUGUAUAAGGAAGGGGGUAAGGGUGAAAAGGUGAGGUAAGAGCUCACCGGGCUUUGUAGUAAUACAGAGUGCCGUACGUCUUAUGGGUUGCAAGGUCAUGUAUAUCGGAUAUGUAGGGCUGCUCGUCCGAUGCCGAGGGGUGGACCGCUAAAGAGUAAUGGUGACAUUGCUCGUAGAUAAAUGACAAACAUCUUCUUUAGGUAGAAGUUACAGAACCCGGCUUAUAGAUCGACUGC
rnacentral:RNase_P_RNA from 1 species